rfam:Schistosoma mansoni strain Puerto Rico chromosome 2, complete genome
AUCCAGCUGACGAGUCCCGAAAACAGGACGAAACGCGCGUCCUGGAU